rnacentral:rRNA from 1 species
CGUGUAGCCGGGCAGACAAGUCAGAUGUGAAAUCUGGAGGGCUUAACCUCCAAACUGCAUUUGAAACUGCCUGUCUUGAGUGUCGGAGAGGUAAUCGGAAUUCCUAGUGUAGCGGUGAAAUGCGUAGAUAUUAGGAAGAACACCGGUGGCGAGGGCGGAUUACUGGACGAUAACUGACGGUGAGGCGCGAAGCGUGGGGAGCAAACA